GGUUAAGCGACUAAGCGUACACGGUGGAUGCCUAGGCAGUCAGAGGCGAUGAAGGGCGUGCUAAUCUGCGAAAAGUGUCGGUAAGGUGAUAUGAACCGUUACAACCGACAAUACCCGAAUGGGGAAACCCAGUGCAAUUCGUUGCACUAUCCUGUCAUGAAUACAUAGUGGCAGGAGGCGAACCGGGGGAACUGAAACAUCUCAGUACCCCGAGGAAAAGAAAUCAACCGAGAUUCCCCUAGUAGCGGCGAGCGAACGGGGAAGAGCCCAGAACCUGAAUCAGUUUGUGUGUCAGUGGAAGCGUCUGGAAAGUCGCACAGUAAAGGGUGAUAGUCCCGUACACGAAGAUGCACAGAUUGUGAGUUCGAUGAGUAGGGCGGGACACGUGUUAUCCUGUCUGAAUAUGGGGGGACCAUCCUCCAAGGCUAAAUACUCCUGACUGACCGAUAGUGAACCAGUACCGUGAGGGAAAGGCGAAAAGAACCCCGGCGAGGGGAGUGAAAUAGAACCUGAAACCGUGUACGUACAAGCAGUGGGAGCCUACUUGUUGGGUGACUGCGUACCUUUUGUAUAAUGGGUCAGCGACUUAUAUUUUGUAGCAAGGUUAACCGUAUAGGGGAGCCGUAGGGAAACCGAGUCUUAACUGGGCGAAUAGUUGCAAGGUAUAGACCCGAAACCCGGUGAUCUAGCCAUGGGCAGGUUGAAGGUUGGGUAACACUAACUGGAGGACCGAACCGACUAAUGUUGAAAAAUUAGCGGAUGACUUGUGGCUGGGGGUGAAAGGCCAAUCAAACCGGGAGAUAGCUGGUUCUCCCCGAAAGCUAUUUAGGUAGCGCCUCGUGAACUCAUCUUCGGGGGUAGAGCACUGUUUCGGCUAGGGGGCCAUCCCGGCUUACCAACCCGAUGCAAACUGCGAAUACCGAAGAAUGUUAUCACGGGAGACACACGGCGGGUGCUAACGUCCGUCGUGAAGAGGGAAACAACCCAGACCGCCAGCUAAGGUCCCAAAGUCAUGGUUAAGUGGGAAACGAUGUGGGAAGGCACAGACAGCCAGGAUGUUGGCUUAGAAGCAGCCAUCAUUUAAAGAAAGCGUAAUAGCUCACUGGUCGAGUCGGCCUGCGCGGAAGAUGUAACGGGGCUAAACCAUGCACCGAAGCUGCGGCAUUCAGGGGUCAGGUUACAGGGUUCAGGAGUCAGCAAUGGUACAGCGAUUUGAAGAGUUGGAUGUCUUUAAGCGGUCAUACCGAAUUUCACUUGAAAUUCAUCAGACCAGCUUAUCCUUUCCUCAAAUAGAGCAAUACGGACUGGCAGACCAAUUAAGGCGUUCAAGCAAGAGUAUCUGUGCGAAUUUAGCUGAGGGGUUUGCUAAACAAAAAUCCAAAGCAGAGUUUUGUCGCUUUAUAGGUAUGGCGAUAGGCAGUGCUGACGAGAUGCGGGUCUGGUUAAGGUACUGUUAUGACCUUGGAUAUAUUAAUGAGCAUCAAUGGCAAGACUGGCGUAGUGAAUACGAACAGUUGGCGAAAAUGCUUAAUGGCCUGGUAAGAAGUCUGAAGAGAACAGACUGAUACUUGUGCCCUGUAACCUGGCUCCUGAGUGGGUAGGGGAGCGUUCUGUAAGCCUGCGAAGGUGACCUGUGAGGGUUGCUGGAGGUAUCAGAAGUGCGAAUGCUGACAUAAGUAACGAUAAAGCGGGUGAAAAGCCCGCUCGCCGGAAGACCAAGGGUUCCUGUCCAACGUUAAUCGGGGCAGGGUGAGUCGACCCCUAAGGCGAGGCUGAAAAGCGUAGUCGAUGGGAAACAGGUUAAUAUUCCUGUACUGGGUGUUACUGCGAAGGGGGGACGGAGAAGGCUAGGCUAUCCGGGCGACGGUUGUCCCGGUUCAAGUGUGUAGGGGGGUAGACCAGGCAAAUCCGGUUUACUAUCAACCCUGAGGCACGAUGACGAGUCUCUACGGAGAUGAAGUAGUUGAUGCCCUGCUUCCAGGAAAAGCCUCUAAGCAUCAGGUAACAUUUAAUCGUACCCCAAACCGACACAGGUGGUCAGGUAGAGAAUACUCAGGCGCUUGAGAGAACUCGGGUGAAGGAACUAGGCAAAAUGGUGCCGUAACUUCGGGAGAAGGCACGCUGGCGUUAGGUGAAGGGAUUUACUCCUGGAGCUGAAGCCAGUCGCAGAUACCAGCUGGCUGCAACUGUUUAAUAAAAACACAGCACUGUGCAAACACGAAAGUGGACGUAUACGGUGUGACGCCUGCCCGGUGCUGGAAGGUUAAUUGAUGGGGUUAGCGGCAACGCGAAGCUCUUGAUCGAAGCCCCAGUAAACGGCGGCCGUAACUAUAACGGUCCUAAGGUAGCGAAAUUCCUUGUCGGGUAAGUUCCGACCUGCACGAAUGGCGUAAUGAUGGCCAGGCUGUCUCCACCCGAGACUCAGUGAAAUUGAACUCGCUGUGAAGAUGCAGUGUACCCGCGGCAAGACGGAAAGACCCCGUGAACCUUUACUAUAGCUUGACACUGAACAUUGAGCCUUGAUGUGUAGGAUAGGUGGGAGGCUUUGAAGUGUGGACGCCAGUCUGCAUGGAGCCAACCUUGAAAUACCACCCUUUAAUGUUUGAUGUUCUAACUCGGCCCCAUAAUCUGGGGUGAGGACAGUGUCUGGUGGGUAGUUUGACUGGGGCGGUCUCCUCCCAAAGAGUAACGGAGGAGCACGAAGGUUGGCUAAUCACGGUCGGACAUCGUGAGGUUAGUGCAAAGGCAUAAGCCAGCUUGACUGUGAGAGUGACGGCUCGAGCAGGUACGAAAGUAGGUCUUAGUGAUCCGGUGGUUCUGAAUGGAAGGGCCAUCGCUCAACGGAUAAAAGGUACUCCGGGGAUAACAGGCUGAUACCGCCCAAGAGUUCAUAUCGACGGCGGUGUUUGGCACCUCGAUGUCGGCUCAUCACAUCCUGGGGCUGAAGUAGGUCCCAAGGGUAUGGCUGUUCGCCAUUUAAAGUGGUACGCGAGCUGGGUUUAGAACGUCGUGAGACAGUUCGGUCCCUAUCUGCCGUGGGCGUUGGAAGAUUGAGAGGGUUUGCUCCUAGUACGAGAGGACCGGAGUGAACGCACCCCUGGUGUUCGGGUUGUCAUGCCAAUGGCACUGCCCGGUAGCUAAGUGCGGAAAAGAUAAGCGCUGAAAGCAUCUAAGCGCGAAACUUGCCUCGAGAUGAGUCUUCCCUGGGCCUUUAA
rfam:Serratia sp. DD3 SRDD_contig000097, whole genome shotgun sequence.